AUGCACAAUUUCCACAAUGUUGUAUACAAAGAUGUUCCUACUAGGUAUUCUGACGUUGAUUAUCUAAAAGAAAGAGCAAUUCUAACACCAACGAACCAAGUAGCUGAAAAUUAUAAACGAGUGCGUUCUAUCUUUAGUGCCUACCACAGCAAACUAAACAGGUUGGUUAGGAAACUGAAGCUGCAGCUACUGAAGAGCCAAAGAACAUUCUUGUUGAACAGUCUAAAGCCAAGAGGAUACAGAUAUGUGAUUCUCAUGUGGUCCUUUCGCUGGAAACUUGCUAAUCUUAGGGGUGCUGCUACUGGUGUAAAAACCGUUUUAUCAAAAGAACUAAAGUAG
rnacentral:rRNA from 1 species